rnacentral:rRNA from 1 species
UGGGGGAUAUUGCACAAUGGGGGGAACCCUGAUGCAGCGACGCCGCGUGAGCGAAGAAGUACCUCGGUAUGUAAAGCUCUAUCAGCAGGGAAGAAAAUGACGGUACCUGACUAAGAAGCCCCGGCUAAAUACGUGCCAGCAGCCGCGGUAAUACGUAUGGGGCAAGCGUUAUCCGGAUUUACUGGGUGUAAAGGGAGCGCAGGCGGCCUGCCAAGUCUGGUGUGAAAACCCGGGGCUCAACCCCGGGCCUGCAUUGGAAACUGGCGGGCUGGAGUGUCGGAGGGGCAGGCGGAAUUCCUAGUGUAGCGGUGAAAUGCGUAGAUAUUAGGAGGAACACCGGUGGCGAAGGCGGCCUGCUGGACGAUGACUGACGCUGAGGCUCGAAAGCGUGGGGAGCAAA